UACGUAGGGGGCAAGCGUUGUCCGGAAUUAUUGGGCGUAAAGAGCGCGUAGGCGGUCCGAUAAGUCGGCUGUGAAAUUCCUGGGCUCAACCUGGGGGCUGCGUUUGAUACGUGCGGACUUGAGUGCGGAAGAGGGUCGUGGAAUUCCCGAGUGUAGAGGUGAAAUUCGUAGAUAUUGGGAAGAACACCGGUGGCGAAGGCGGCCCACUGGACCGGUACUGACGCUGAUGCGCGAAAGCGUGGGGAGCAAACAGG
rnacentral:rRNA from 1 species